rnacentral:rRNA from 1 species
AGCUCUCAAAGUGUAUAUCGUCAUUGCUGCGGUUAAAAAGCUCGUAGUUGGAUUUAAGCUCGAUGACUCGGUCCAUCCAUAGGAUGAGAACUGAGCUCAUCGGCUAAUCAUCGGCUGGUUUUGCCUAGGUGGCUUUAAACGGUCGCCUAGGCUGGCUAGCAAGUUUACUUUGAAAAAAUUAGAGUGCUCAACGCGGGCUUAAUGCCUGAAUAGUCGUGCAUGGAAUAAUGGAAUAGGAUUUCGGUUCUAUUUUGUUGGUUUUUUUAACCGAAAUAAUGGUUAAGAGGGACAGACGGGGGCAUUCGUAUCGCUACGUGAGAGGUGAAAUUCUUGGACCGUAGCGAGACGCCCGACUGCGAAAGCAUUUGCCAAGAAUGUCUUCA